UACAGAGGGUGCGAGCGUUGUCCGGAAUCACUGGGCGUAAAGGGCGCGUAGGCGGCUUCUUAAGCGUGUCGUGAAAGCGCGGGGCUCAACCCCGCGUCGGCGAUGCGAACUGGGGAGCUGGAGCACGUCAGAGGCAGGCGGAAUUCCGGGGUGUAGCGGUGGAAUGCGUAGAGAUCCGGAAGAACACCGGUGGCGAAGGCGGCCUGCUGGGACGUGGCUGACGCUGAGGCGCGACAGCGUGGGGGAGCAAACAGG
rnacentral:rRNA from 1 species